AGCCGUGUAGCAUAGUGGUUUGAACAUUGGACUGGGACUCUGGAGACCAGGGUUUGAAUCCCAGCUCAGCAA